CUCAGGGAGUGGUGUAAAGUAGCACAGAGGCUGGGCAUCUAAAUCAGGCUGGUCAUCGUCUAGGAGGGCUUCCUGGAGGAGGCAACAUCCAAGGAAAGAAUAAGGAAGAGUCUGAGCCCACAGUGCUGACGGAUGGCGGGGAAGGUGCCAAGAGGCAUGCUGGGUAGCUGAGGAUGACAAUCUGGGAUCCCAAACAUCCGUGAGAGAUAAAAGUGGACAAGUCACAGCCAUGGGGGAAGGGUGACUAGUGUUCUUGAGUUGCCCUUUAACGGCUUCCAAGGGCUGGAGGGGCCUUGGAAAGGUUUUGAGGUCCAUGCUCCUGUCUUGAGGCUGACCUACCCAAGACAGUUCAGGCAGAACAUGACCCUUCUGCCGCUGUACAGCUCGCUGGGAGGAUGUGCUUUCGCCAGUCCACCAUAAAUUUCUUCUGCUGCAGGUUGAA
rnacentral:lncRNA from 1 species